rnacentral:rRNA from 1 species
UACGGAAGGCAGCAGUGGGGAAUAUUGCACAAUGGGCGCAAGCCUGAUGCAGCCAUGCCGCGUGUAUGAAGAAGGCCUUCGGGUUGUAAAGUACUUUCAGUCGUGAGGAAGGUGUUAAGGUUAAUAACCUUAGCAAUUGACGUUAGCGACAGAAGAAGCACCGGCUAACUCCGUGCCAGCAGCCGCGGUAAUACGGAGGGUGCGAGCGUUAAUCGGAAUUACUGGGCGUAAAGGGCACGCAGGCGGUUAAUUAAGUUGGAUGUGAAAUCCCCGGGCUUAACCUGGGAAUGGCAUUCAAGACUGGUUAGCUAGAGUCUUGUAGAGGGGGUAGAAUUCCAUGUGUAGCGGUGAAAUGCGUAGAGAUGUGGAGGAAGUACCGGUGGCGAAGGCGGCCCCUGGACAAAGGACUGACGCCCGAUGUGCGAAAGCGUGGGGAGCGAAACAGGGAUUAGAUACC